rnacentral:lncRNA from 1 species
UAAAAUGGCUUCUAUGAUUUAUGGUGUUAGUCAAAAUAAGAAAAGAGGAAUUGGAUAUGACUGUAAUGAAGCUGAGAAAAUACCUUGUGCAGAUGAUAAACCUAAGUCUCCUUUUUCUUAUCAUUACACACAUGCACAAACAAAAAGUUUUAAUAAUGCUAGAAAACCCAAAUUUUCCAAAAACUUUGGGAGAACUAAUCAUAAAGGACCCAAAAGAUUUUGGGUAUCAAAAGAUAAAAUAGUAUAUGUUGCAAAUAUCUUAUGCAGUAGAGUUAAGACACCAAUCAU